GGGUAUUUAUAGGUGAGGAGCGCAUCAAAAUCAGGCCCAAGUCUAGCGUGCUACCACCGAGCGGUUUAAGUGUGCCGCCCGGCGGUUUGCCACAAUCUGCCGCCACCGCCCGGUGGUUUCCCAUGCCAGCGCCCGGCGGCAAUCGCCAGCGCCCGGCAGUUUCUCUCAACGUGAAAUGUUGCCUACUCCUCGUUCUGGACCGCCCGACGGUUUAAGUGUGCCGCUGGGCAGUACGUCGACUCUUCAAAACUCAACUUUUCUGAAAACUAAGACUCACA
rnacentral:lncRNA from 1 species